CGACCUUUAUUAUCAACAGAGCUCUCAGUGUGAAGUAGGUGAACUUAACACAGUGGACGUCAUAGGAAGGGCUCUAGAAGAAGAGUCUGGACAAAUCAUGUCUCAGAGUAUCUCCUGGGUCUGAAUUUUUUUCUAGAAGUGUUCCUUAAUGGAACUUUCAGAUGGUCUGGAAGGGGACAUGCUGCUCUUUGAAAAGCAUAAAGGAGACAAUUAUCAUCCAAAGUGUGUGGCCAGCAGAAGAUGGCUUUAGGCCAGACUUCUUCGACAUUUUCAGGUGAGGAUGCUAAACGCAUAGAUGGAAAGUUUAUGAUCUCUGGAUUUAAGAGGGAUGGCCACACAGGUUCUGUGACGAGGCUGGGGCACCCAUAGUGUGCCAUUUUUCUUCCCUUUUCUGCGGAACUCCAGGCUUCCUUUCCCACUUACAUACUUUCAUUCUCUUGGCUGAGGUGUUUUCGGGUAUUUCUCAUCUCCCAGUGGCUCCCAGAGUCAGUCCAUUGCUCACCCACUCAGGAAGAGUCGUGCACGCUGUCACGUGCAUGAAGAGUGUGAGCACAGAAGACUGGGGUGCAAGCACCAGUCCUAAGAUGUUGGCUCAAGUUUAUGUGAUGCCAGGCCAAGCUCGGAGACACCAGCACCAACGUGGAGGGGUGUGAGCACGGAGGCACUAUGAGCAGUUGGCUGAUUAUGGUGGUGCCCAUUAUAUAGAAAGCAAGGAAGUGUGGCCCUGACUGACUUGAGUGCCCUCCUGGGAGUUCACACCACUGGCAUAGGUGAAGCGGAAGAUCUGGCUCCAGGGGACCGUUUGGAAUACUCCAUGGACACACAGCCCACUGCCCA